rnacentral:rRNA from 1 species
UAGGGAAUCUUCCUCAAUGGACGCAAGUCUGACGGAGCAACGCCGCGUGAGUGAAGAAGGAUUUCGGUUCGUAAAACUCUGUUGUUAGAGAAGAACAGCGCAUAGAGUAACUGUUAUGCGUGUGACGGUAUCUAACCAGAAAGCCACGGCUAACUACGUGCCAGCAGCCGCGGUAAUACGUAGGUGGCAAGCGUUGUCCGGAUUUAUUGGGCGUAAAGCGAGCGCAGGCGGUCAAUUAAGUCUGAUGUGAAAGCCCCCGGCUCAACCGGGGAGGGUCAUUGGAAACUGGUUGACUUGAGUGCAGAAGAGGGGAUGGGAAUUCAAUGUGGAGCGGUGAAAUGCGUAGAUAUAUGGGGGAACACCAGUGGCGAAGGCGACUCUCUGGUCUGUAACUGACGCUGAGGCUCGAAAGCGUGGGUAGCAAACAGG